UCUUUACCUAGCAUUGCAUCUUUUAAUGCUCGUCUUUUUAAUGCUAUUCUUAUUCCAAACAUAGGUGUCAGAGGUGAAACAACCGUGCCGACAAGGUCAACAAGUGCCACUCCUGAAACGCCUACAGAAGAUCGGACUCCAACGCCAGAUUUUACCACAAUUCACCAGGCAUUGCC